rnacentral:rRNA from 1 species
GACGAACGCUGUUUGCGUGCUUAACACAUGCAAGUCGAACGGAAAGGCCCUGCUUUUGUGGGGUGCUCGAGUGGCGAACGGGUGAGUAACACGUGAGUAACCUGCCCUUGACUUUGGGAUAACCUCAGGAAACUGGGGCUAAUACCGGAUAGGAGCUCCUGCUGCAUGGUGGGGGUUGGAAAGUUUCGGCGGUUGGGGAUGGACUCGCGGCUUAUCAGCUUGUUGGUGGGGUAGUGGCUUACCAAGGCUUUGACGGGUAGCCGGCCUGAGAGGGUGACCGGCCACAUUGGGACUGAGAUACGGCCCAGACUCCUACGGGAGGCAGCAGUGGGGAAUAUUGCACAAUGGGCGGAAGCCUGAUGCAGCAACGCCGCGUGCGGGAUGACGGCCUUCGGGUUGUAAACCGCUUUCGCCUGUGACGAAGCGUGAGUGACGGUAAUGGGUAAAGAAGCACCGGCUAACUACGUGCCAGCAGCCGCGGUGAUACGUAGGGUGCGAGCGUUGUCCGGAUUUAUUGGGCGUAAAGGGCUCGUAGGUGGUUGAUCGCGUCGGAAGUGUAAUCUUGGGGCUUAACCCUGAGCGUGCUUUCGAUACGGGUUGACUUGAGGAAGGUAGGGGAGAAUGGAAUUCCUGGUGGAGCGGUGGAAUGCGCAGAUAUCAGGAGGAACACCAGUGGCGAAGGCGGUUCUCUGGGCCUUUCCUGACGCUGAGGAGCGAAAGCGUGGGGAGCGAACAGGCUUAGAUACCCUGGUAGUCCACGCUGUAAACGGUGGGUACUAGGUGUGGGGUCCAUUCCACGGGUUCCGUGCCGUAGCUAACGCUUUAAGUACCCCGCCUGGGGAGUACGGCCGCAAGGCUAAAACUCAAAGGAAUUGACGGGGCCCCGCACAAGCGGCGGAGCAUGCGGAUUAAUUCGAUGCAACGCGUAGAACCUUACCUGGGUUUGACAUGGAUCGGGAGUGCUCAGAGAUGGGUGUGCCUCUUUUGGGGUCGGUUCACAGGUGGUGCAUGGCUGUCGUCAGCUCGUGUCGUGAGAUGUUGGGUUAAGUCCCGCAACGAGCGCAACCCUUGUUCACUGUUGCCAGCACGUUAUGGUGGGGACUCAGUGGAGACCGCCGGGGUCAACUCGGAGGAAGGUGGGGAUGACGUCAAGUCAUCAUGCCCCUUAUGUCCAGGGCUUCACGCAUGCUACAAUGGCUGGUACAGAGAGUGGCGAGCCUGUGAGGGUGAGCGAAUCUCGGAAAGCCGGUCUCAGUUCGGAUUGGGGUCUGCAACUCGACCUCAUGAAGUCGGAGUCGCUAGUAAUCGCAGAUCAGCAACGCUGCGGUGAAUACGUUCCCGGG